GCAUGGAACGUUCUAAUGUCCUGAGCAUUUUUUUGCAUAAUGCUCAGGACAUUAGAACGUUCCAUGCAGU